CACGUAGGGUGCGAGCGUUGUCCGGAAUUAUUGGGCGUAAAGAGCUCGUAGGCGGUGUGUCACGUCGGCCGUGAAAACCUACAGCUUAACUGUGGGCGUGCGGUCGAUACGGGCAUCACUGGAGUUCGGCAGGGGAGACUGGAAUUCCUGGUGUAGCGGUGAAAUGCGCAGAUAUCAGGAGGAACACCGGUGGCGAAGGCGGGUCUCUGGACAGUUCCUGACGCUGAGGCACGAAGGUCAGGGGAGCAAACGGG
rnacentral:rRNA from 1 species